rnacentral:rRNA from 1 species
UACGAAGGGGGCUAGCGUUGCUCGGAAUCACUGGGCGUAAAGGGUGCGUAGGUGGGUCUGUAAGUCCGUGGUGAAAUCUCCGAGCUUAACUUGGAAACUGCCAUGGAUACUAUAGGUCUUGAAUACUGUGGAGGUCAGCGGAAUAUGUCAUGUAGCGGUGAAAUGCUUAGAUAUGAACAUAGAACACCAAUUGCGAAGGCAGCUGGCUACACAAAUAUUGACACUGAGGCACGAAAGCGUGGGGAUCAAACAGG